CGGUACGUCUGGCUGUCUGAUGCAUAUCGUACGGUAACAGAGCUAGCUUGCUAGUUGCUGACGAGUGGCGGACGGGUGAGUAAUGCUUGGGAAUAUGCCUUUACGUGGGGGACAACAGUUGGAAACGACUGCUAAUACCGCAUAAUCUCUUCGGAGCAAAGCAGGGGACCUUCGGGCCUUGCGCGUAAAGAUUAGCCCAAGUGGGAUUAGCUAGUUGGUAAGGUAAUGGCUUACCAAGGCGACGAUCCCUAGCUGGUCUUAGAGGAUGACCAGCCACACUGGAACUGAGACACGGUCCAGACUCCUACGGGAGGCAGCAGUGGGGAAUAUUGCACAAUGGGGGAAACCCUGAUGCAGCCAUGCCGCGUGUGUGAAGAAGGCUUUCGGGUUGUAAAGCACUUUCAGUGGGGAGGAAAGGGUUGUAGUUAAUAACUGCAUUCUGUGACGUUACCCACAGAAGAAGCACCGGCUAACUCCGUGCCAGCAGCCGCGGUAAUACGGAGGGUGCGAGCGUUAAUCGGAAUUACUGGGCGUAAAGCGCGCGUAGGCGGUUAAUUAAGUCAGAUGUGAAAGCCCAGGGCUCAACCUUGGAACUGCAUUUGAAACUGGUUAACUAGAGUUUUGUAGAGGGUGGUAGAAUUUCAGGUGUAGCGGUGAAAUG
rnacentral:rRNA from 1 species